UACGUAGGGUGCAAGCGUUGUCCGGAAUUAUUUGGCGUAAAGAGCUCGUAGGCGGUUUGUUGCGUCGGCUGUGAAAUCCCGAGGCUCAACCUCGGGUCUGCAGUCGAUACGAGCAAACUAGAGUGUUGCAGGGGAGACUGGAAUUCCUGGUGUAGCGGUGAAAUGCGCAGAUAUCUGGAGGAAUACCGGUGGCGAAGGCGGCAUCCUGGACCAUUACUGACGCUGAGGAGCGAAAGCUAGGGGAGCAAACGGG
rnacentral:rRNA from 1 species